GACGAACGCUGGCGGCGUGCUUAACACAUGCAAGUCGAACGGUAAGGCCCUUCGGGGUACACGAGUGGCGAACGGGUGAGUAACACGUGGGUGAUCUGCCCUGCACUUCGGGAUAAGCCUGGGAAACUGGGUCUAAUACCGGAUAGGACUCCUGGCUUCAUGGUUGGGGGGGGAAAGCUUUUGCGGUGUGGGAUGGGCCCGCGGCCUAUCAGCUUGUUGGUGGGGUAAUGGCCUACCAAGGCGACGACGGGUAGCCGGCCUGAGAGGGUGACCGGUCACACUGGGACUGAGAUACGGCCCAGACUCCUACGGGAGGCAGCAGUGGGGAAUAUUGCACAAUGGGCGCAAGCCUGAUGCAGCGACGCCGCGUGAGGGAUGACGGCCUUCGGGUUGUAAACCUCUUUCAGCUAUGACGAAGCGCAAGUGACGGUAGUAGCAGAAGAAGGACCGGCCAACUACGUGCCAGCAGCCGCCGCCG
rnacentral:rRNA from 1 species